UGCCUACGGGAGGCAGCAGUGGGGAAUAUUGCACAAUGGGGGAAACCCUGAUGCAGCGACGCCGCGUGAGUGAAGAAGUAUUUCGGUACGUAAAGCUCUAUCAGCAGGGAAGAAAAUGACGGUACCUGACUAAGAAGCCCCGGCUAACUACGUGCCAGCAGCCGCGGUAAUACGUAGGGGGCAAGCGUUAUCCGGAUUUACUGGGUGUAAAGGGAGCGUAGACGGCCAGACAAGUCUGAAGUGAAAAUCCAGCGCUUAACGUUGGAAGUGCUUUGGAAACUGCCGGGCUAGAGUGCAGGAGGGGG
rnacentral:rRNA from 1 species